rnacentral:rRNA from 1 species
UACGUAGGGCGCAAGCGUUGUCCGGAAUUAUUGGGCGUAAAGAGCUCGUAGGCGGUUUGUCGCGUCUGUCGUGAAAGCCCACGGCUUAACCGUGGGACUGCGGUGGAUACGGGCAGGCUAGAGUUCGGUAGGGGAGACUGGAAUUCCUGGUGUAGCGGUGAAAUGCGCAGAUAUCAGGAGGAACACCGGUGGCGAAGGCGGGUCUCUGGGCCGAUACUGACGCUGAGGAGCGAAAGCGUGGGGAGCGAACAGG